UAGGGAAUCUUCCACAAUGGGGGCAACCCUGACCGAGCAACGCCGCGUGAGUGAAGAAGGUUUUCGGAUCGUAAAGCUCUGUUGUAAGUCAAGAACGAGUGUGAGAGUGGAAAGUUCACACUGUGACGGUAGCUUACCAGAAAGGGACGGCUAACUACGUGCCAGCAGCCGCGGUAAUACGUAGGUCCCGAGCGUUGUCCGGAUUUAUUGGGCGUAAAGCGAGCGCAGGCGGUUUGAUAAGUCUGAAGUUAAAGGCUGUGGCUCAACCAUAGUUCGCUUUGGAAACUGUCAAACUUGAGUGCAGAAGGGGAGAGUGGAAUUCCAUGUGUAGCGGUGAAAUGCGUAGAUAUAUGGAGGAACACCGGUGGCGAGAGCGGCUCUCUGGUCUGUAACUGACGCUGAGGCUCGAAAGCGUGGGGAGCGAACAGGAUUAGAUACCCUGGUAGUCCACGCCGUAAACGAUGAGUGCUAGGUGUUGGAUCCUUUCCGGGAUUCAGUGCCGCAGCUAACGCAUUAAGCACUCCGCCUGGGGAGUACGACCGCAAGGUUG
rnacentral:rRNA from 1 species